rnacentral:lncRNA from 1 species
ACUGACUAUUUUUUCAGCUCAAGAAUAUUAUAUUUUUAGUCAGUGAGAUGGCUGAAUGGGUAAAGGUGCUUGCUACUAAGCGUAAUGACUUGAGUUCCAUCCCUGGGACCCACAUGGUAGGAGGAGAACAGACACUCGAAAGUUGUCCUCUGUCCUCACAUCCACAUACCAUGGCACAAUCCCCUGCCCAAGAAUAAAUGUAAUUUUAAGAUUUUUUUUUAAUAAAAAUAAAGGCUAUGUUAUUCUGUGUUUGGUAGUUGUUUCUGAUUCAGUGCUUUGUUUAGAGACUAGACAUUUGUAUGCAGACCUGCCUACCUGUCCCUGAAGUUGAGAUUCCCAGCAUAUGCUGCUACACCCAACUUUUUUUUUUUUUUAAUUGGGACAGCACCUUACUCUGUAGUGCAGGCUAGCUUCAGAAUUGUAGCAAUCCUCCUGCUACAGUCUCCCAACUGCUGAAUUUUAGUCUUGGACUAAAACAUCUGAUAUGUUGUUCAUAUAUUUCUUGGCUCUGACUUCGAAAUCACUUGUACUGUGUUAAUUUUUCUGCCUUGUCUAUAUUUUGAAGCUUUCUCAAGAGACUUGUUCUUCAUAUAAAUGAUGUGGCUUCUUUAAUAUUUUUUCCUCCUGGAAGUCAUGUAUAUUCACUAUGAGCAAAUUUAGAGAGAAGACAAAAGCCGCCUGUGUGCCUGUGUGCACCAACUUUUAUUUGUAGGGUGUUCUAAGGCUCUUUUCAAAAAGCUGCCUUACAUAAUAUUAUGUUGUAAAACCUUUUUGAAAAUACAUGUGCUGGAGAGAUGGCUGCCCUUUCAGAAGUCCUGAGUUAAUUCCCAGCAACCAUAUGGUGGCUCACAACCAUCUGUAGUGAAAUCUAGGGCCCUCUUCGGGCAUGCAGGUGCACAUGCAGAUACUCAUACAUUAAAUAGACUUGAAAGAGAGAGAGAGGCAAAGAGAGAAAGAGAGAAAGAAAGGAAGAGAAAGAAAGAAAGGAGG